GAUGAACGCUGGCGGCGUGCCUAAUACAUGCAAGUCGAGCGAACAGACGAGGAGCUUGCUCCUCUGACGUUAGCGGCGGACGGGUGAGUAACACGUGGAUAACCUACCUAUAAGACUGGGAUAACUUCGGGAAACCGGAGCUAAUACCGGAUAAUAUAUUGAACCGCAUGGUUCAAUAGUGAAGGACGGUUUUGCUGUCACUUAUAGAUGGAUCCGCGCCGCAUUAGCUAGUUGGUAAGGUAACGGCUUACCAAGGCAACGAUGCGUAGCCGACCUGAGAGGGUGAUUGGCCACACUGGAACUGAGACACGGUCCAGACUCCUACGGGAGGCAGCAGUAGGGAAUCUUCCGCAAUGGGCGAAAGCCUGACGGAGCAACGCCGCGUGAGUGAUGAAGGUCUUCGGAUCGUAAAACUCUGUUAUUAGGGAAGAACAAAUGUGUAAGUAACUAUGCACGUCUUGACGGUACCUAAUCAGAAAACCACGGCUAACUACGU
rnacentral:rRNA from 1 species